rnacentral:misc_RNA from 1 species
AAGUCGUAACAAGGUUUCCGUAGGUGAACCUGCGGAAGGAUCAUUAAUUAUAUGUAAUUAUUAUGAUUAUAUUUAAUUAGCCACGUAAUUGUUUAGUAUUAAUAUUUUAUGAUAUUGAUACUUAACAGUUUAAUGGCAUCCUAAAAUGAUUUGGUUUUGAUUAUUUUUAUAAUUGAAACUGUUAAUUCAGGGUUAAAAUCCUGAAUCAAAACUAAUGUUAAAAUUUUAUCAAACUUAUAUUCGAUCUAUUAAUUAAUUUUUAAUUAACUUAAUAACUAAUAACAAUGGAUCUCUUGGCACU